GAUGAACGCUGGCGGCGUGCCUAAUACAUGCCAGUCGAGCGAACGGACGAGAAGCUUGCUUCUCUGAUGUUAGCGGCGGACGGGUGAGUAACACGUGGAUAACCUACCUAUAAGACUGGGAUAACUUCGGGAAACCGUAGCUAAUACCGGAUAAUAUUUUGAACCGCAUGGUUCAAAAGUGAAAGACGGUCUUGCUGUCACUUAUAGAUGGAUCCGCGCUGCAUUAGCUAGUUGGUAAGGUAACGGCUUACCAAGGCAACGAUGCAUAGCCGACCUGAGAGGGUGAUCGGCCACACUGGAACUGAGACACGGUCCAGACUCCUACGGGAGGCAGCAGUAGGGAAUCUUCCGCAAUGGGCGAAAGCCUGACGGAGCAACUCCGCGUGAGUGAUGAAGGUCUUCGGAUCGUAAAACUCUGUUAUUAGGGAAGAACAUAUGUGUAAGUAACUGUGCACAUCUUGACGGUACCUAAUCAGAAAGCCACGGCUAACUACGUG
rnacentral:rRNA from 1 species